rnacentral:rRNA from 1 species
UACAGAGGGUGCAAGCGUUGUUCGGAAUCAUUGGGCGUAAAGGGCGUGUAGGCGGUCUGCUAAGUCAUGUGUGAAAGCCCCCGGCUCAACUGGGGAGGGUCGUGCGAUACGGUCGGACUUGAGGCCAGUAGGGGGAUGCGGAAUUCCGGGUGUAGUGGUGGAAUGCGUAGAGAUCCGGAGGAACACCAGCGGCGAAGGCGGCAUCCUGGACUGGUCCUGACACUCAGGAGCGAAAGCGUGGGGAGCGAUCCGG